UACGUAGGGUGCGAGCGUUGCCCGGAUUUAUUGGGCGUAAAGGGCGCGCAGGCGGUACGGCACGUCCGUUGUGAAAUCGCUCGGCUCAACUGGGCGGGGUCAGCGGAUACGGCCGCACUCGAGCAAGCUAGGGGGCAAUGGAAUUCCCGGUGUAGUGGUGGAAUGCGUAGAUAUCAGGAGGAACACCUGCGGUGUAGACGGCUUUCUGGACCGUAACUGACGCUGAGACACGAAAGCGUGGGUAGCAAACAGG
rnacentral:rRNA from 1 species